CCUCUCCGAGCGGAGACGGCAAAUGGCGGACUUCGACCUACGACAAUCGGGCCUACAGCAGCUUUGGUGCAGCAGAGGGUCCCACGGCAGUGCUGGUGGCCAUGGUUUCCGUAGCCAGAAGGAGUUGCCCACAGAGACCCCCUACACAGCCUACGUAGGAAAUCUACCUUUUAAUAAGGUUCAGGGCGACAUAGAUGCUAUCUUUAAGGAUCUCAGCAUAAGGAGUGUAUGGCUAGUCCGAGACAAAGACACAGAUCAAUUUAAAGGAUUCUGCUAUGUAGAAUUCGAUGAAGUGGAUUCCCUUAAGGAAGCCUUGACAUACAAUGGUGCACUGUUGGGCAAUGGAUCACUUCAUGUAGACAUUGCAGAAGGCAGAAAACAAGAUAAAGGUGGCUUUGGAUUCAGAAAAGGUGGACCAGAUGACAGAGGAAUGGGUAGCUCUCGAGAAUCUAGAGGUGGAUGGGAUUCCCGAGAUGACUUCAAUUCUGGCUUCAGGGAUGACUUCUUAGGGGGAAGGGAAGGUAGUCGCCCAGGUGACUGGGGAACAGCCCCGACCAUGGGCAGCCGCUUCAGAGAUGGCCCUCCCCUCCGCAGAUCCAACAUGGAUUUCAGAGAACUCACAGAAGAGGAAAGAGCACAGAGACCACGACUCCAGCUUAAACCUCGAACAGUCGGGACACCCCUCAAUCAAGUAGCCAAUCCCAACUCUGCUAUCUUCGGGGGUGCCAGGCAUAGAGAGGAAGUCGUUCAAAAGGAGCAAGAAUGAGCCUGCGGCUGAGAGGGAAUGGGGCAUGGGGGGUUAGAGCAGGACCACAGCCUGCAGCUCUCCUG